rnacentral:rRNA from 1 species
UACGUAGGGUGCAAGCGUUGUCCGGAAUUAUUGGGCAUAAAGAGCUCGUAGGCGGUUUGUCGCGUCUGCUGUGAAAACUCGGGGCUUAACCCCGGGCCUGCAGUGGGUACGGGCAGACUAGAGUGCGGUAGGGGAGACUGGAAUUCCUGGUGUAGCGGUGAAAUGCGCAGAUAUCAGGAGGAACACCGGUGGCGAAGGCGGGUCUCUGGGCCGUAACUGACGCUGAGGAGCGAAAGCGUGGGGAGCGAACAGG